rnacentral:rRNA from 1 species
UACGUAGGGUGCGAGCAUUGUCCGGAAUUAUUGGGCGUAAAGAGCUCGUAGGCGGCCUGUCACGUCGGAUGUGAAAGCCCGGGGCUUAACCCCGGGUCUGCAUUCGAUACGGGCAGGCUGGAGUUCGGUAGGGGAGAUCGGAAUUCCUGGUGUAGCGGUGAAAUGCGCAGAUAUCAGGAAGAACACCGGUGGCGAAGGCGGCCCACUGGACCGGUACUGACGCUGAGGUGCGAAAGCGUGGGGAGCAAACAGG